GACGAACGCUGGCGGCGUGCUUAACACAUGCAAGUCGAACGGUGAUGCUCCAGCUUGCUGGAGUGGAUCAGUGGCGAACGGGUGAGUAACACGUGAGCAACCUGCCCCAGACUCUGGAAUAAGCGCUGGAAACGGCGUCUAAUACUGGAUACGAAACUGGCCCGCAUGGGCAUGGUUUGGAAAGUUUUUCGGUUUGGGAUGGGCUCGCGGCCUAUCAGCUUGUUGGUGAGGUAAUGGCUCACCAAGGCGACGACGGGUAGCCGGCCUGAGAGGGCGACCGGCCACACUGGGACUGAGACACGGCCCAGACUCCUACGGGAGGCAGCAGUGGGGAAUAUUGCACAAUGGGCGGAAGCCUGAUGCAGCGACGCCGCGUGAGGGAUGACGGCCUUCGGGUUGUAAACCUCUUUCAGCAGGGAAGAAGCGAAAGUGACGGUACCUGCAGAAGAAGCACCGGCUAACUACGUG
rnacentral:rRNA from 1 species